UACGGGGGGAGCAAGCGUUGUUCGGAUUUAUUGGGCGUAAAGAGCGUGUAGGCGGCCAGGUAGGUCUGCUGUGAAAACUCGAGGCUCAACCUCGAGACGUCGGCGGAAACCAUCUGGCUAGAGUCCGGAAGAGGAGAGUGGAAUUCCUGGUGUAGCGGUGAAAUGCGCAGAUAUCAGGAAGAACACCCGUGGCGAAGGCGGCUCUCUGGGACGGUACUGACGCUGAGACGCGAAAGCGUGGGGAGCGAACAGG
rnacentral:rRNA from 1 species